GUAGGGAAUAUUGCGCAAUGGGGGAAACCCUGACGCAGCAACGCCGCGUGAGUGAGGAAGGUCUUCGGAUUGUAAAACUCUUUUAUUAGGGAAAAAUGUCUAGGUGGCUAAUAUCCACUUAGAGUGAUGGUACCUAAGGAAUAAGCACCGGCUAACUUCGUGCCAGCAGCCGCGGUAAUACGAAGGGUGCAAGCGUUGUUCGGAAUCAUUGGGCGUAAAGCGCGCGCAGGCGGGUCAGUAAGUCAGGUGUGAAAUCUCGGAGCUCAACUCCGAAACUGCGCCUGAAACUAUUGGUCUAGAGUAUCGGAGGGGACAGGGGAAUUUCACGUGUAGGGGUAAAAUCCGUAGAGAUGUGAAGGAACACCGGAGGCGAAGGCGCCUGUCUGGACGAUUACUGACGCUGAGGCGCGAAAGCGUGGGGAGCAAACAGGAUUAGAUACCCCUGUAGUCC
rnacentral:rRNA from 1 species